ACCUACGGGGCGCAGCAGUAGGGAAUUUUCGUCAAUGGGCGCAAGCCUGAACGAGCAAUGCCGCGUGAACGAGGAAGGUCUUCGGAUCGUAAAGUUCUGUUGAAGGGGAAAAAGAGCGGAGAGAGGAAAUGGUCUCCGAUUGAUAUUACCCUUCGAGGAAGUCACGGCUAACUACGUGCCAGCAGCCGCGGUAAUACGUAGGUGGCGAGCGUUAUCCGGAAUGAUUGGGCGUAAAGGGUGCGUAGGCGGCCUGCUAAGUCUGGAGUGAAAUCCCGGGGCUUAACCCCGGAACUGCUUUGGAAACU
rnacentral:rRNA from 1 species